GUGCAGUCAAGCUCUUCAAAACUAGACCGCUGUAUCCAGGAUCCACAACAUCAAAUAUAGACUCGCUGAGAAGAAGCAUGGAAAAAAUUGAGCCAGAGAAAAACUUUAACCAUGCUGUGAUGCAAGACCUGGACAGAGAAUCCUUGUCGUCAUUAAGUAGAAGCAUAGAAGAGAUUGAACAGAAUGAUAUCAGUAGUGUUGAUGACAAAGAGAUUCUGAGGGAACAGGAGAGUCCAGGGUCUAAUGUUGAAUCUGGGCCUCCUACCAACAGGUCUGUGUCAGACGUGACAAAUUCUAGAACCGGAGUCUCAUAGCAUGCACCUGGUCACAACUUGAUACCAUACAAAACCAAACUGGCUGUUGAGAAACCUCCAGACUGUAAAUCAGUUCCUGAAGUGAAGAAGGCGAGAAACACCACGAUGGCAAUGACUUGUCUGAAGAUGCAAAGCCUCAGGUGUUCCCAUUAAAAGGAAUCAAUCAUCAGAUAGCUGCAAUCAUGCAUAAUGCAGUGUGUCAGCAGCUGCCUGCUGUGUGCGGUUAACUAGUUAUAAUACCUGUUUUCUCUCCUAGUUAAAAUGGCUGCUGCUGUCAAGUGGUACAUAUCUGUAGUUUGUGUAACUUGCUGUAUCAUAUAUGCCAUAAAAGGCUGUAAUUUAGAUCUUGUAUUGCUUUGGAGCGUUGA